AGUGAGGAUUCAUGAGGCCUAAGAACAAUACUAGUCACUGAUAAGGAAAAAAGACAACUAAGGUAUGAUUCUAGAUUUACACAAUGUGUAGUCAUUGUGUUAUUUCAAUAGUGCAAAUGCUAGUGGUUAUCUAAUACUUUCAAGACAUUCUCUACAGUAAAAAAUUGAUUCUAAUAAAACAAGUCAAACAGUGAUAAAAAUCAUAGCGUUGGAUAGGUAGUAGGUUAUCCUCAGGUGGAGAAUGAGGGGAAAACAUUUUAAGCAGGGGCUUCAGCAUGAGCAAAGACCUCUAGUUAUGAACGCAUACAGUGUUUUAGAGAACUUGGUACAGACACAGAGUAAUUAGAAUGCAGGGACUAGUGAAAGAUGAGGAUGAGAGUAAUUUAGAGCAGAUGUUUAGAGAAUAGUGGAUAUGCUACUUGAAUUCUCUGGAUGACAGAAUGUUCUAGAAGAGUAUGAUUUUUUGUUGUUAUUUGUUCUGUUUUUUUAGCAGAAAUGUGUAAUGGUGUUUGCUCUGGGUUUUGAAAGAAAAUUCUGGUGAAGAGCGGAUGGUAGAUUCAAUAGUACGAAAUCUGAAGGCAUUGCACAGCAGUGAGAAGAUUCUCACAAUCAUCCAGGUGGGCAGUGCUGUUGAUGCCUGAAGAAAAGCAGUGGGCUUGUAAAAAGGGGGGAAGAUUUUAGAGCCGAUUCAGAAGUGAAGCCCAUUCCCAUCCUCUCAAGUAUUAGGAAAAAAGAUCUAACACUUGUGUAAAAGUUUGUCUCCUCGUUAAAGAUAAUCUUCUUUUCUGCUCCCCAAAGUAUAUUGAAUUUUUGUUCUACAUAGCAUUUGGUUAUAUUAGCAUCAUGGUUCCUUUCUGCCAGUUUCCUACUAUAUUUUCACAGUGGGUAGUUACAUUAUGAGGAUUAUUUUGUCUGUUGCUUUAUAAGAACAUGAUCUAUUGAUUGGUAAGUCCCUUAUUAUUUCUUGGCAGCAGGAAUACUAAAUAAAUUUAAAAUAUUCAAUAGUGAACUGAGAAAAAGGAUAGUGGCUUCUUGAAGUGUUUAUUAUUUCUUUGGUUACUGUGGAUUAUUACUUGGCUGUAGGGCAACAGGCUGUCCCACUGUUUUCUAAACUGUGGUACCCUCAUGAUGCCAUGUUUAAACAAUCAGCUGUUUUCAAGCUGUGGAACUGUGGUUUUCUGAAAAUGUUUCCAGUGCUUUAGCAAUGAGAUGGGCAAUAAGCUUUUACCUCCCUCUGUCUUUCCUGCAGAAUUCUAAAUUAUUUUAAUUUGCAUUUUAGAUGCAUAUAUUAAGAAAUGAGUGUGAAUAAUCAGUGAUGGUGUUUAAAAGACAGAAUGCACCUAACAUUCUCUGCCUGGACGAUAAUUCAUAGUGUCCGAUUACCUACGUUAGUAUCAGAAAUGAGUAUGUGCUAUCACCUAUAUUUAAGUUGUUGAUUUGAGAAGCAAAGGAAAGGGGGCAAGAGGGUAAAGAAGAGACAGCUUUGAAAAAUCCUGUGAAUUUCCAGAGGGAAAAUAUAAAUAAAAACAAUUCAAGAUUGGAUAUUUAAACCCCAUUUUUGUGAGCCAUAAAAUUUUUAGAUGCCAAGUAGCCUAAAUUGGGGAUAAUGAAAAGACUCAAGAAAACUUCAGCAAUCAACCACUAAAGAGAAACAUUUUCUGCCUAACCAAAAAACACGAAAAAACAAAAACAAAAACAAAAAAAAACUCAUACAAAUUGACACUAGAGAAUACCACUUUUUUUUUUUUUUUUUUUUUUUUCAUUUUAGGGCUGCACCCAUGGCAUAUGAGGUUCCCAGGCUAGGGGUCAAAUAGGAGCUACAGCUGCCAGCCUAUACCACAGCCACAGCAAUGCAGCAUCUGAGCUGUGUCUUCCACCUACACCACAGCUCAUGGCAAUGCCAGAUCCUUAACCCACUGAGCAAAACCAGAGAUUUAACUUGCAUCCUCAUGGAUGCUAGUCAGAUUUGUUUCCUCUGAGCAACAACAGGAACUCCCCACCCACAUUUUUUUUUACAUAUGUAUUCUUGUGUGUUUUGAAAAACUAACUAAAAAAUCGAUUGUGGAAUGACAAAAGCUUAUGGAGUAUAAUAAAUAUUUUAUUAUAAUUUAAAGUCAUGAAACACAAGUCUUACCUCAUGCCCGGAGUUUAUAUAACAUGCCUGUCUGACUCUGUCACUGCCCUGUUUAAGAGGUUUAAGGAACCUGAGUUCCUUCAAAUGAAGCGUGAGGUCCUCUCUGAUCUAGCCCCAGCCCAAUCCUCUCCAUCUUCUUUUAGCUCAGUCACCCAACCAACACAAACUUUUUACUCCAGCAAUAUUCACUUCGCCCUUGAUAAAAUUCCCCAUAUUUUUUCAUUUCCCUCUAGAUUUCCUCUCAUAGCUCAAAUCAAUACAUAUUGCAUUGUGUGUUUAAACUGUACGUUUCUAGCUCUCCAACUAGAUUUUGUCAAAAAAUAUUUCUAAAUGAGGAGGGGCAUCUGUUAAGCCAAGGAGAAGCAAAAUGUCCCAUCAUUGAUAGUCUAUCCCAAAUAAUAUAAACGUGUAUACUCUUUUUUUGGUCUUGAAGUACCUUAUAGAAUUGCUCAUCAUUUCUGACCCAUAGCUGCCCAGGGAUUAUUGGAAAUAUAAUCUGUUUCAGAUGUGAUCCUGAAAGAUCAUUAUGUUAUGGUCUGUAAAUUUUAAAACAAGGUUGUAAAAGAGUAAUAAUCAGUUUUAAAGUUUACAGUAGAUGUUAGGAAAAUUGAGUUAAAUGUGGGAAUCAAAAAAGCUAUCAGUGUUCAAGGAUGGCCUAUGAGCUCAUUUAUAUUGAACAUUUUGCAAAUUAUUGUUUUGGAUAACUGCUUUGUGACUUCAAGGAGGUUGCCAACAGAUUUUAUCAACUUUCAAAUAAUGAUAAAUGGAUAUUACAGGGAUUGAGAAUAAAUAUUACAUUGACAAGAUUAGACACUCAUUUCCUCACACUGGCAAAAUGUAAUAGGUACAUUACAAAUUUGAGGGCUAAAUGGCUUUUUGAAGUAGCAGAAAUUCAUGGUUAAUAUAAGUUUAAGAGGAAUAAGCAAAUGUACAAAUUGCCUUUUGUAAUUCUGUUCCAAAGUUGAAAGCAACUAGCUGCAUAAUCUUAAUAAGAUAUAUCUUUUUCCCAUACAUCUGUGCUCUCAGGCAUAAAUUCAAAUUGUUACCCUAGAAUUAGGAUAGCCUGCAUGCCACCUCUGUACUAGCCCCUCCUGUACCCAUAGCAGAUACUGAUGGAUAAUUAAUCAGAAGAUUCUCUUCCAGUGAGCCUCAGAACCCUACUCAACAAUCUAGAAAACCAUUACUUUUAUGCAGGAGUUGACUAAGAGAAAAAUUAACUUGUUUUCCAGUUCUCACAUUCCAUGAAUCUCUUCAAACAAACACUAAAUCAUAUGUAAGCUCAUCUGUUGGGAUGAGCAAUAUGAGAUAGCUUCUGAUAUCAUAAAGAAUUUGAGGCUUUUUAAACAUUUGCCUUGAUUCCUUUGAGCUUUCCAGACUUUUUGUAAUAUCACUACCUUUUAUUUGCUUUGCCUUUGUAACUUUUCCCCAGAACUUCAUUUUUGUUGACUAUUCAUCUAUUCUCUGACCCCAACCCUUUAAGGUCAAUAGAACACAGAGUUAAACUAACUCAUCUGUAUCAUCUUUGAUUGUACAACCAGCAGUAAGCUAAAGCCAAACCAGUACACAAUACCUUGACUCCAAGUUUCUCUGGAAUGGCAAGGUGGAGCAAACAAAUGAAGAAAGGGGGAUAGAAAUUGUUCAGAGAUCCAGUCAUAUUCAGAAUAAGCUUUGUCAGCAAAACUAACUAAACUUUUAUGUUACACAACAAAUAUUUCCAUUUCCCAUUCCCAUUCUCAAAAAGGGCUGUCUACCUUAUACUUUUUUUUUUUUCACUUAAAGUUUUGAGCUGGAAUCUGAAGCUAGAAAAAUGAACAUCACUGACAUCCUUAUACUCUUGCCAUUCAUGAAGGCCAGAAGCUAAUGUAAGACCUAAGGGAGUAGAAACUAGCGUUAGAUCUUUCUCAGAGUAAUUAACAAAGAUAGACUUAGAAAUGGCUUUGGCCUGACCAAAUCUGUCCAGCCUGGAGCUAACACUGGAUUCACACUGCUUAGUUCAGUCAACUAUCAAAAAAAUAUACCAGGGCGUGGAAAAAAAUAAACUUUUCCAUGUCUUCCUAUUUUCUCUGAAUUUUACAUGGAGGUAUGUGUAUUGAUUUUCUCUUAGUGUACAACAAAUGCAACAGAUGUAGAGGCUUAAAACAAUACAUGUUUAUUAUUUCAUGGUAUCUGUGGGUCAAGAGUCAAGGUGUGGCUUCUCUGGGUACCCUGCUCAGGCUCUUACAAGGGUAUAGUCACAGUAUUGGCUUGCCUGCAUUCCUUUCUGGAAUCUUAGCAUCCCUGUCCCAGCUUACAGAGUUGUUGGGAGAAUUCAGUUCUAUGUGGUUGUAAGUCUGAGAAUUUCAGCUCCUGGAGGCUACCUGCAGUUCCCUGACAUGUGCCCUCUCUGUGGUCAGUUCACAUCAUAGGCACUUGCUUCCUAAAGGCCAGCCGGAGAGACUCUCACUCCAGUCCUGUAAGACUCUGUCUUUAAAACAUAACCUGGUCUAGGAUGUGAUGCAUUUGCCAUUUUAGCUAGAAACCAGUGCUGGGACCUGUCUACAUUCAAGGGGUGGAGAUUACAAAAAGUAGUGGACACCAGGGGCAGAAAUUAUCUAAGAUCACUGUAAGGUCUGUCUGCAACAGUAUGUGUUUGCUCUAAAAGGGGGGAGUAUACCUAUGUUAAUACUUAAAUAGAACUUAGUUUGUACCAAUAUCUUAUUUUUACCUAGUAGCUUAUUUAAUUUUCACGACAAUUGUCAUCCUCCUUUUAUACAGGAGGAAACUGAAGCAGAGAGUUCAGGUGAUUUGGCCAAAGCACACAGCUGGUCAGAGGUAGAAUAGGAAUAUGAAUGCCGAUAAUCUGGCUGCAGAGUCCAUCUUCUUAACACACUAUCCAUCGCUCUGUGAUAAUAGUUUACUCUUUUAUAGUACCCGCUAAGUACUUUACCUAUUUUAACUCAUUUCAGCCUCUGAUGAUUCCUCAAUUUUAGUAUGCAUCCAAUUCAUUCCCUUUAAUUCUUAAACAAGCUGAAAUAUUCCAUCAAACUUAAACUUGAAUAUGAUUGUUGUCCAUGGAAGUAGUAAUAAAUACUAUUUAUUAUUGUUGUUGCUAAACCAUCCAUAAAUAGUAUUUUCAUUUAUCCUAUAACCUCUCUAGGAGGUAGAUAGUUCUGUUUUCUAACUUUCAUAAUUGAACAAAUCCUGGUUGGCCAAGAAAGCAAGUGUGAGAACAUUCUUUCAUAGCUGCUACACAUUCUGCCAAAGCUCGUCUGUAACUCCAGAGUGUCCUGCUUUCCAGUGUUAUGCUCAGAUUUCUGUCAUUUUCACAGUGAACAAUAUGUAGGUUCAGGAAAGGCAGAUCCUUUCCCCCUUAGUGUGUCUUUCAUCACAUUGCUAUCCUGUGAUUAUGAGAAAAUCUUCUAGACUCUGGAGAAUAUUAUCUAGAGCCAUUUUCUUCCUAUCCUCUGUCCUUAGGAAUAUGUUGGUACAGAGUGGCUUCAUAUAAAAAUCUCUAUGUUGGCUGUCUUAUUUCAUACCUUACCUUCUCUUCCUGAGCACCUGUCAUUGAUUCCAUUUAGAAUUCCAAGGAGGUAAACACUCAUUUAAUUAAAGGUGUAGAGUAAGCAGCAGAUUAUUGUGCUAGAUUAAAUUAGUACAAUGGAUAUUACAUCAAAAGCUAGCAUGAUGUCUGCUUUCAUUGAUACUAUUACUUAGAUAUUUGAAUCAUCACUAGUUAGAUAAUUUCCAUUUCUUUUCUUUAUGCAAAUGUUUAAUGGAAAUUGCGAUUUUGUUUUAUUUUUUCCCAAUUAGAUGAUAAAUCCUUUCUGCCCUUGGAAAGAAGCACAGUGUAAAUUCAAAUGAGUUACCAAAUUGAUUUUUGUGUUUGUCCUGUUGUAGCCUUGAACAGUUCUGUAGCUUGUAUUUUUUUGUGAGGAUUUUCUGUGCACAUUGGUUCCUCAUUUCUAGCAAGAAGCAGUAUAUUGCUAUUGAGAAACCUUACAGCCCAGGUACAAGAAAGCUAUUAAUAAUUACUCAGGAGAAGUAAUAACAUGAUGUGGAAGUACUCAUAGGGCCUCUGUUUACAUCUGUCAUUUGUUUUACCAUUAAAAACCCAAAAGUCUUUUUUAAUGGCCUCCAUUCCAUAUAGAGCUUGAUUUCCAUUAAAAUAGUCAAAUUCUCCUAAGGGUAGGCGUAAGAAAUAGUUCUUUAAGCUAUAGUCAGUCAUUUACACAUUAGUGUAAUUUAAUCUCAGACUCUCUUCAGAGAAGGUUUUGUAAGUUAAAGGAUAUGAAGAUGAUACACAUUCAAAUUUGUGUGUGCAUGUGUGGGUGUUACUAAGUAUGGGUUGGGUAAGGAAACUAGGAAGGGAUGUUUAUAGCACAAGAAGAUGGGAACUCUGAGAGCAAACUUUACUUUCUUAGCAUUUUACUAGAACUUAACAUGGAUAUAACUGAUUAUGGUGCUGCUUCACUAGUAUAGGAAGUAUUACUUCCUGAUUCACUUCCUCAUUAUUUAUCACACAAUAAUAAUUCUGAUAUACUAUAUAGAAAGAAACUCAUAGUUCUUAAUUCUCUGAUCUUUACAUUUACUCAAAUAUCAUUCUUGAGCAAAGCACAGUUUUAAGCAAUAUACAGAGAUAAAGACUUGGUUCCACUUCCAAUUUAAUACUUGACUGAUACCUAAGCAACAAUUUAUAAAGAUAUAAGUUCCAUAAGAGAGUCAGAAAUUAAGUUCUUUACUAGUAUAGAGAAGAGAGAUAAUGUUUGUAUGGACAGGUCAGAGGGUGGGCAUAUUGAUAAGGAAAGUCAUUUUGGAGAAUAGUAAACUUAAAAUCCAUAUUCUAAAUUUUUAGAACUUGUUUAUAGGAGAGUAGACUUUAAACCCUCCCUCUAAAUGUAGUAAACUGAGUUUACUUUUAGUUUAGACACAAUUCUAAAAUAACAUGAUUACCCAGUACCUCGCUACUCAAAAUGUGUUCUAAGAACCAACAGUACGGGUAUCACCUGGGAGCUGGUUUUUCUAUUCCAGAACUAUGAAUCAGAAUUUGCAUUUUAACAAGACCCCAGAGUAAACUGUAACACUUUGAAGUUCAAGAAGCAAUGGUCUAAUACCCCAGUGCAAGGUAAUUUCCCAGAGUGUUGGCACAUUGGGAAUAUCUUGCUUUAUUGGUUAGGAAUUGAUGGAAGCAGGUAAGCUGACUGCAGUGAGAGUAGUAAAUAAAAGCUAACUAAUGUAUACAUCAUGCCAAUGAGAAAGGCCCCCAAAAUUUUUCAACAGCUGACUCAAAAUGGAAAAAAUGAGGCGGCACUAAAGCCACUUCAUGGGUAGGAAAAAAAUCCCUAGGAAUUCCCCUGUGUCACAGCACCAUAGAAUAAUUACCAUUCAUACUGGUGAAACACAUGUUGUUAUAAAAAAGUUAAAUUACAUUCAGUGUUCUUUGAUGAACACUGGAAACCAGCCAUAAUGAAAAAAAAUAAAAAUCAUUAUAUGGAAAUAAAAAAA
rnacentral:lncRNA from 1 species